AUUGAACGCUGGCGGCAGGCUUAACACAUGCAAGUCGAGCGAGCGGCGGACGGGUGAGUAAUGUCUGGGACACUGCCUGAUGGAGGGGGAUAACUCCUGGAAACGGUAGCUAAUACCGCAUACCAUCAGAUUUGCCAAGAUGUGAUUAGCUAGUAGGUGGGGUAAUGGCUCUCCUAGGCGACGAUCCCUAGCUGGUCUGAGAGGAUGACCAGCCACACAGGAACUGAGACACGGUCCAGACUCCUACGGGAGGCAGCGGUGGGGAAUUUUGCACAAUAGGCGCAAGCAUGGUGCAGCCAUGCCGCGUGUGUGAAGAAGGCCUUCGGGUUGUAAAGCACUUUCAGCGAGGAGGCGAUACUCGCAGAAGAAGCACCGGCUAACUCCGUGCCAGCAGCCGCGGUAAUUC
rnacentral:rRNA from 1 species